rnacentral:rRNA from 1 species
UAGAGUUUGAUCAUGGCUCAGAUUGAACGCUGGCGGCAGGCCUAACACAUGCAAGUCGAGCGGUAGAGAGAAGCUUGCUUCUCUUGAGAGCGGCGGACGGGUGAGUAAUGCCUAGGAAUCUGCCUGGUAGUGGGGGAUAACGUCCGGAAACGGACGCUAAUACCGCAUACGUCCUACGGGAGAAAGCAGGGGACCUUCGGGCCUUGCGCUAUCAGAUGAGCCUAGGUCGGAUUAGCUAGUUGGUGAGGUAAUGGCUCACCAAGGCGACGAUCCGUAACUGGUCUGAGAGGAUGAUCAGUCACACUGGAACUGAGACACGGUCCAGACUCCUACGGGAGGCAGCAGUGGGGAAUAUUGGACAAUGGGCGAAAGCCUGAUCCAGCCAUGCCGCGUGUGUGAAGAAGGUCUUCGGAUUGUAAAGCACUUUAAGUUGGGAGGAAGGGCAGUUACCUAAUACGUGAUUGUUUUGACGUACCACAG